UAAAGAAUUUCGGUUAUCGAUGGGGAUGCGUUCCAUUAGUUAGUUGGCGGGGUAACGGCCCACCAAGACGACGAUGGAUAGGGGUUCUGAGAGGAAGGUCCCCCACAUUGGAACUGAGACACGGUCCAAACUCCUACGGGAGGCAGCAGUGAGGAAUAUUGGUCAAUGGACGAGAGUCUGAACCAGCCAAGUAGCGUGAAGGAUGACUGCCCUAUGGGUUGUAAACUUCUUUUAUAUGGGAAUAAAACAGGGUAUGCAUACCCUCUUGUAUGUACCAUAUGAAUAAGGAUCGGCUAACUCCGUGCCAGCAGCCGCGGUAAUACGGAGGAUCCGAGCGUUAUCCGGAUUUAUUGGGUUUAAAGGGAGCGUAGGUGGAUUGUUAAGUCAGUUGUGAAAGUUUGCGGCUCAACCGUAAAAUUGCAGUUGAAACUGGCAGUCUUGAGUACAGUAGAGGUGGGCGGAAUUCGUGGUGUAGCGGUGAAAUGCUUAGAUAUCACGAAGAACUCCGAUUGCGAAGGCAGCUCACUGGACUGCAACUGACACUGAUGCUCGAAAGUGUGGGUAUCAAACAGGAUUAGAUACCCUGGUAGUCCACACAGUAAACGAUGAAUACUCGCUGUUUGCGAUAUACAGUAA
rnacentral:rRNA from 1 species